rnacentral:rRNA from 1 species
AUGAAGAGAUGCAUUGCUGCCGUUCUGCUGGUGCUUUCACUCGAGGCCCUCGCCGCCGGGCGCCUCUCGGCUACCGUCGCCGACGACCAUGUGGACACCAUUCGUCUCCCGAGCAACGGUCUUGCCGAUGAAGUAGCGACGGCGGCUACGGAGAUCGGCGCCGAGAAGACGAGGCCGUGGAAGUGCUGCGACCGCCCGUUGUGCAGCAGGUCCAUCCCGCCGCGGUGCCGCUGCAUGGACGCGGUGGAGCAGUGCGACGAGGCCUGCACCCGCUGCGAAGCGUCCCAGUCCGACCCUUCCAAGCGCAUCUGCAACGACCGGUACCACGGCUGGCCCGGGCCCAGCUGCACCAACCCCGACGCCGACGACAUCCCAAGUGGUCCGGGAGUUUCUGGUCCGCCGGUCGCGGUGGCAGCGGAGGAAGAAGAAGUUGUUAGCGAGGAGAGCGCCGUCGUCGGCAAGGAGAAGCCGAGGCCAUGGAAGUGCUGCGACGACACCCUGUGCACCAGGUCUGCCCCGCCGACCUGCGCCUGCAACGACAAGGUGAAGAAGUGCGCCAAGACCUGUAAGAAGUGCGAGAAGGACGAGUCGGACGCUUCCCGCUUCGUGUGCCGCGACCGCUACUUCGGCUGGCCCGGGCCCAAGUGCACCGAGAUCUAG